CCCUCCGGGGCGCAGCAGGCAAAAAUUAGGCAUGCAGACAGAUUCUUCUUACCGUUUUGAACGAGGCAUUGAUCCAGAACCUGCCCAAAACGCAUCUUUGGAAGCCGGGAGAUUACUUCAGGAAUUAACCGGAGGCAGGUGUGUUUUAUCAAAAGAAUGCGGCACAAUAAAGAUAAAAGACGUAAAUAUUGAUUUGGACAUCUCUGCGGCAGCCAAAAUCCUGGGGGUGAAUAUCCCUUUGCCUAAAGCAAAGGCGAUUUUGAACCAUUUAGGGUUUAAGGCUGGCGGAAAAGGAAAAGAGAAAAUUUCCGUUAAAGUACCUUCCUAUCGGCAAGAUGUGAAAACCGGCAUUGAUUUGAUUGAGGAAUUGGCGGGGGAGC
rnacentral:rRNA from 1 species